UUUUUAGUAUAACUAUGCCCUAUGUCAUAUUUAGAACAUACUUAUACUAAAA
rnacentral:pre_miRNA from 1 species